GCCCGCACCCAACGCAACCCAAUCCCCUCGUCCCGCACGCCGUGCACACUUCGGUCCCCUCAUCCCACACGAACCCUAGGAGAGAGAGAUAGGAAGAUGAGAGGGAGAGAAAGGGGAGAGGAGAGGAGAGGGAGGUCCGGCAGCGGACGGGAGAGGGUGACCGGCCGGCGUCGGCCUACACUGGCGAGGCGUCGGCCUGCGCCCCUCCUCGCGCACGAACCCUAGCUGAGAGACAAAAUGAGGAGGAGAGAGAGAAGGAAGGAGAGGAGGGAGAAAGAUAGAGGAAAGAGGAAAGGGAGGUGCGGCGGCUGACAGGAGAGAGGGUCAUCGGCCGGCGCUGGAGAGGAUGGGCCCAACCUGGACGCGACCUGGAGGUUGGCGGCGGCUCGAUCCACUCCUGGAUCGGGACCUGCGACGAGGCUGGGGCUCGGGCGCGUUGUACGGGAGGCUGCACUCCGCCUCUUCCUCGUUAGCUCUUCUUCUUCACUGCCUUAAUUACCAGGACAACCAUUUUGUUGCUUCCUUUACAAAUAGAGUGUGUUAGACUUUCUCUUUGUUUGUCUCAUCUCCUUCUUAAGUGACUGGUUCCUGCACGGUUAUUGGCUUCUCCAAUGGAUCAUGUAGGUAGAAACUAAAAAGAACUGGAUAAUUUCUUUUACCCUUCUUUUAAUUUCAAUAGGAUUCCCGAGUUCAGAAUUGACAAUUCACAUCAGUAAUCAGUACAGAGCAGAUCAAUUGAUUUUCAUAAAAACGCAUAUUAGAAUUAUCAUUGGAUUGGUUUUCAUGUGCCUUUAUUAGACAUAUAGUGCAGAGGGAGUAAAUUAGUUUCACAGAAUGUUUCCUUGGAUUUUAGUUGCACUUCAUUCUGUUGUUUCGGUCUUUGUACAUUCAGAUGCUUUUUAAUUCAAAAGGAAACAACUCACAGAGGUUAUGUACGGGAGGCUACACUCUGCCUCUUCCUCGUGGUGCGGCGGACGACGGCUCUUGCGGUCGUGUGCUGACGACGGCCUCAGCAGGUGGGCGACCAAUGGCGGUGCCAGGGGUUAGCUGUGUAGGCAACUGACUACACAACAUUUUGGCAUGCAUUAGUAGACAUCAAGCAAAAACCAGUUUUCACACAUGCAUAAGUAUUUGACAUCACAACGUUGAACUCUUGCCUUCACCACUGUGGGCGACUACACUUGCAGCUGGCGCUUCGCCACUGUGGGCGACUACACUUGCAGCUGGCGCUCUACCCAUGGAUUCCGGCAUUAGCUCGAAACGCUCAGGACAAAUUAGGUCUCGACCAAUGGUGGAGAAGACGGAGUACAGGGAUGAGCCGCUCGAGCAUGGUUUGAUGGGAUGUUCGCGCGCAAGAUGCAGAAGUUCGCCAGAAGGAAGAAGAGCUGGGCGUCGAGGAGGAGAAGAAGGUGGUAUGCGAGGUGCUUGUAGGCCCAGCAGCAGGAGGCCGUCCUUGAGGUGCUCCUCUGGAUGGUCCCUUCCGGCGCUGGGUCUACGUGUUCAAUGCUGCCCUCACCAUCCCCUUCUUCCAUUGGCUCAUCGGCCCGUCAGAGUUCAGAGAUCUAAUACUCCGCAUUGCCUCCCAUCCAUUUUCAGAUAUAUAUAUAUAUAUAUAUAUAUAUAUAUAUAUAUAUUUAUAUAAGGUUUAUCAUCACCCCAUGGAUCAUGUGUUGUUGAUUGACCAGGUUAUUGAGGUGGAGGUCAACGGGGUGAGGAACAGAAGUGGAGUGCUCAUAAAGAAAUGAAGCUGCUCCCUGGACUCGCCAGUGCCGCCGCCUCCAGUCGCUUCCGCCUAGGCAUCCCGUCGCUAGCAAGAUUGAACUGACCAAUCCGUGUGAUUGAGGAAUCCUUGUGGAGAAAAAGAAUUCAAGGAACUCCGCAUCUCCGAAUACAGAGGUGAUAAAUCGAAUCAAUCGAGCAACGCUCUGGUGAUCUAUUCAUCUACAUGUCCUGAUAUGCAUGUAUUCCCUGUUUUUCCUCUGCUGGUUCAGCUUUGUUAAACUUAUAGCAGAUAUAAAAUACCUGUAUAUAUAUGCUUAGAACAAGCAAAAUUAGCACUCUCUAUCUUGAGUUGUCAAUUUGAUUUACAUACACAUGUCACUAGACUAUGCAUCAUCAAGCAGAAUGUUUAUGUGUGUUGCCAGUAACAAAUUGUAUCAAAUCUUGUGUUAAAACAAUGUUAUCAAAUUAACUUUCAAACCAGGAUUUCAAGAAAAAAAAGUGUGCUGGAGCAAGAAAGGGAACAUGGUAAGGACUGUGCCUACAAGAGUUUCUCUGUUCUUAUUGGUUGCCAUAUGCAGCUUGCGGGUCUCAACUUAAUAAAUACAUCAACCGUGUACAGAAGGAAAAACUCAUUACAUGAAUCCUGAGUAGGUAUUUUCAGUCUUUCGCAAUGUAAUUUAUUUAUUUUUCUCUCAUAAUAUGUUAGGUUCGACAUUGGAAAAUAUUUGGCAUGAAUGGAGUUGAUUUAAAUCUUGAAAGACUUCGAUUGAGACCUAUGUUUAUGUGUGUUGCCAGCCAAUUGUGGAAACUGAAAGUAGAGACACAAUUCACAUAAUAAGUAACAACUUCCAAUCCAAGUUUAACAACCACAGCUCCAUUCUAGAUUGAUGUUUAAGUUCUGAAGUAUCGCUCUCCAGAUUUCUGUCUGUUUCCAUUUUAGCUCGUUUUGUAGGUAUGCUUUAGGCAAAAUUUGGUCUGCGAAGAUACUGUUUCAGCAAAGGGCAAAGGGAAAAUCAUCAAGUUCGAUGAUCCAGUUUUUGUUCCAUAGGAUUCCCUUUUUCAAAUGAAUCUCCUACCUGAAAAAGGGCAUGGUAGUGGAUAUUGUAUCUGUUUUAUGUGCAUUAGAAGAGACGACCGGCUGGUUGAUUUUGUGCACAUAUUCUGUAAAUUCAACUUACCAAUAAAGCUUUGACAGGUCAUAUUGCCAGCACAUUCCAAGCGGAAUGGAGUGCCCAGUUUUGUCCAGAAAGCUGAGGCCUUCUGGUGGUUUAGCAUGAUAUUUCCUUAGUUGUCUUUUUGACUAGAAGAAGGAAGAAGUGUUGCUUGACUGGAAUGAGAUCACAAAGGAAUCUGAGAUGAGCUUUGCUACAUAAAGUAGUCUGAUGUGAUCUCCAUAUUCAUACAUAAUAUAUCGAUUGGGUGUUUUUGUAACUUAUGCAGGUUAUGUGCACAUUAGAAGUUGUCAAAUAUCUCCUGGUCAUAGGUUUCUUGCAUAUACUCUUGAUACAUCUAGGGGAAACUGUUUUCGCUGGAACUGAAAGAUCUUCAGUCUAGGUUAUGUUUCUAAAGCUCCAUGCUUAAUCAUCCAGACUGUUUCCAAGUGACUACUUUACACAUGGGAGACUGGAUGCCUGGAGGAGUUCAGAGAAGCUGGUGUUAUGUUACAUAUGGUCUUCAAGCUAAUGUUAUGUUUCUUGCAUGGUUUGUAUAUUUGUUGCAAAAACAUAGUACAAGAAAAAGAUCUAUGCUCAUGAAGAUGGCAGAAGGGAACUACAUGUGGAACUAGAACCACCAGCGCUGACCAGUUGGGCAUCUGGAUAGUGGUAGUGAACAAAAAUUGCUUGCCAUAUAGAGUCAAUGUAUUCUACUACUAUCACACUCGCUGAUUUUUAUGUUAUGAAAUUAUAGUUCAACCAUAGUAUGUAUUUACACUCCUGCUGUGAGAUUGUACUAUGUAAAUUAUGGGAGGACAAUAUAGGCCUUUAUAUGCAAAAAACUCCUUGUUGAAAUGAGUAACUUGAGCCAUUUGGCACAACA